rnacentral:lncRNA from 1 species
CAAUUUGCUUAUAGGCUUUAUUUGCUAUCUUUUCGUAUCCGUAAGUUAGACCAUACAACAAGUUCUAUCGGCAUCCAAGGAGCUGACGUGGACCUAGAUGGCUACGCUGAAGCCGAUUGGGGUGAACGCAUGUGUAAGGAGGUUGGGGGCAUGGUUCACAACGGUGGAACCCGUGAAAGCAGCGACCAAGUAGCCUUGCUUAGGCCCAGCAAGUGCCCGACUGCUAGGACGGAUCAAUAUCCCACUCGUGCAGUAACUAGUAGUAAGUGGGACCUUCAAACGGCUCUGUUGUUCUCAGCCCCAGCUAGCUGUGGGCAUCGUGUGGGUAAAGCUAGACAGUCUCUGCAGAGAUGAAUUAAAUCAU